rnacentral:tRNA from 1 species
ACGGGUGUAGCUCAAUUGGUAGAGCAGCGGUCUCCAAAACCGCAGGUUGUGGGUUCGAUUCCUACCGCCCGUG